rnacentral:rRNA from 1 species
UACGUAGGGACCAAGCGUUGUUCGGAUUUACUGGGCGUAAAGGGCGCGUAGGCGGCAAUUCAAGUCAUCUGUGAAAUCUCCGGGCUUAACUCGGAACGGUCAGGUGAUACUGUUUUGCUAGAGUGCGGAAGGGGCAAUCGGAAUUCUUGGUGUAGCGGUGAAAUGCGUAGAUAUCAAGAGGAACACCUGAGGUGAAGACGGGUUGCUGGGCCGACACUGACGCUGACAGCGCGAAAGCCAGGGGAGCAAACGGG